GAUGAACGCUGGCGGCGUGCCUAAUACAUGCGAGUCGAGCGAACAGACGAGGAGCUUGCUCCUCUGACGUUAGCGGCGGACGGGUGAGUAACACGUGGAUAACCUACCUAUAAGACUGGGAUAACUUCGGGAAACCGGAGCUAAUACCGGAUAACAUGUUGAACCGCAUGGUUCAACAGUGAAAGACGGUCUUGCUGUCACUUAUAGAUGGAUCCGCGCCGCAUUAGCUAGUUGGUAAGGUAACGGCUUACCAAGGCAACGAUGCGUAGCCGAACUGAGAGGGUGAUCGGCCACACUGGAACUGAGACACGGUCCAGACUCCUACGGGAGGCAGCAGUAGGGAAUAUUCCGCAAUGGGCGAAAGCCUGACGGAGCAACGCCGCGUGAGUGAAGAAGGUCUUCGGAUCGUAAAACUCUGUUAUUAGGGAAGAGCAAAUGUGUAAGUAACUAUGCACGUCUUGACGGUACCUAAUCAGAAAGCCACGGCUAACUACGUG
rnacentral:rRNA from 1 species